rnacentral:rRNA from 1 species
GAAGCAUGACCGUAAGGACAUGUGGACAGUAUGGGAGUGAGAAUGUUGGCAUGAGUAGCGAGAUGUGGGUGAGAAUCCCACAGGCCGUAAACCCAAGGUUUCCAGGGGAAGGUUCGUCCGCCCUGGGUUAGUCGGGACCUAAGCUGAGGCCGAAAGGCGUAGGUGAUGGACAACAGGUUGAUAUUCCUGUACUACCGAUAACCGUUUGAGAGAUGGGAUGACACAGUAGGAUAAGCUAAGCACACUGUUGGUUAUGUGUGCCCAAGCAUUGAGGCAGUCAAAGUAGGUAAAUCCGCUUUGAUAAUGCUGGGAUGUGAUGGGGAGCGAAAUUUAGUAGCGAAGUAGCUGAUUUCACACUGUCAAGAAAAGUCUCUAUCGAGGUUAAAGGUACCCGUACCGCAAACCGACACAGGUGGGUGAGGAGAGUAUCCUAAGGCCAGCGAGAGAACUGUUGUUAA